rnacentral:rRNA from 1 species
AGCGAACGCUGGCGGCAGGCCUAACACAUGCCAGUCGAACGAACUCUUCGGAGUUAGUGGCGGACGGGUGAGUAACACGUGGGAACGUGCCUUUUGGUUCGGAAUAACUCAGGGAAACUUGUGCUAAUACCGAAUGUGCCCUUCGGGGGAAAGAUUUAUCGCCAUUAGAGCGGCCCGCGUCUGAUUAGCUAGUUGGUGAGGUAACGGCUCACCAAGGCGACGAUCAGUAGCUGGUCUGAGAGGAUGACCAGCCACACUGGGACUGAGACACGGCCCAGACUCCUACGGGAGGCAGCAGUGGGGAAUCUUGCGCAAUGGGCGAAAGCCUGACGCAGCCAUGCCGCGUGAAUGAUGAAGGUCUUAGGAUUGUAAAAUUCUUUCACCGGGGACAAUAAUGACGGUACCCGGAGAAGAAGCCCCGGCUAACUUCGUG